AGCGAACGCUGGCGGCAGGCUUAACACAUGCAAGUCGAGCGGGCAUCUUCGGAUGUCAGCGGCAGACGGGUGAGUAACACGUGGGAACGUACCCUUCGGUUCGGAACAACUCUGGGAAACUGGAGCUAAUACCGGAUACGCCCUUAUGGGGAAAGGUUUACUGCCGAAGGAUCGGCCCGCGUCUGAUUAGCUAGUUGGUGGGGUAACGGCCUACCAAGGCGACGAUCAGCAGCUGGUCUGAGAGGAUGAUCAGCCACACUGGGACUGAGACACGGCCCAGACUCCUACGGGAGGCAGCAGUGGGGAAUAUUGGACAAUGGGCGCAAGCCUGAUCCAGCCAUGCCGCGUGAGUGAUGAAGGCCUUAGGGUUGUAAAGCUCUUUUGUCCGGGACGAUAAUGACGGUACCGGAAGAAUAAGCCCCGGCUAACUUCGCG
rnacentral:rRNA from 1 species